rnacentral:rRNA from 1 species
UACGUAGGGCGCGAGCGUUAAUCGGAAUUACUGGGCGUAAAGCGUGCGCAGGCGGUUUUGUAAGCCAGAUGUGAAAUCCCCGGGCUUAACCUGGGAAUGGCAUUUGGGACUGCAAGGCUCGAGUGCGGCAGAGGAGACUGGAAUUCCUGGUGUAGCAGUGAAAUGCGUAGAUAUCAGGAGGAACACCGAUGGCGAAGGCAGGUCUCUGGGCUGACACUGACGCUCAUGCACGAAAGCGUGGGGAGCAAACAGG